UUUUAUUAGUUCUUUUUUUCUUUUGAUCAAUUCCUCUCCAGAACUUGGAAGGGGAAAAUUGCGAGCAUCCUGUUCGAGGGUUUCUGGCCUGCGAGUUUCAGCGGUUAAUCUCUCAGUUUUUCAGCAGGCUUUCUACUCCGAAUCAGCAGCUUAUGCAAGACACUGACCGAACCAAAGCAAAUGUUAUGGUGUUUAACAGUACUUAAUUCCAAAAGCUUUGGAUGGGUGGCAAUUUAGUUGUUUCCCGCUUAAUUUACAACAAUGUGUUUAUUCUCUGUAGUUUUGAAAAUAGUGUUUAUUCCACGUAUUGUAGUGAAACUUACGCAAAUGAGAAAGGGUGUUGGGGGAAUUCGGCAUUAGAAAUCAAGCCCUGCUAA